GAUGAACGCUAGCGGGAGGCCUAACACAUGCAAGCCGAGCGGUAUUGUUUCUUCGGAAAUGAGAGAGCGGCGUACGGGUGCGUAACACGUGUGCAACCUGCCUUUAUCUGGGGGAUAUCCUUUCGAAAGGAAGAUUAAUACUCCAUAAUAUAUUGAACGGCAUCGUUUAAUAUUUAAAGCUCCGGCGGACAGAGAUGGGCACGCGCAAGAUUAGCUAGUUGGUGAGGUAACGGCUCACCAAGGCGAUGAUCUUUAGGGGGCCUGAGAGGGUGAUCCCCCACACUGGUACUGAGACACGGACCAGACUCCUACGGGAGGCAGCAGUGAGGAAUAUUGGUCAAUGGGUGCAAGCCUGAACCAGCCAUCCCGCGUGAAGGACGACUGCCCUAUGGGUUGUAAACUUCUUUUGUAUAGGGAUAAACCUACCCUCGUGAGGGUAGCUGAAGGUACUAUACGAAUAAGCACCGGCUAACUCCGUGCCAGCCGCCGCAGUAACAC
rnacentral:rRNA from 1 species